AGAGUUUGAUCAUGGCUCAGAAUGAACGUUGGCGGCGUGGAUUAGGCAUGCAAGUCGUACGAGAAUCGUAGCAAUACGAGGAAAGUGGCGAAAGGGAGAGGAUUACGUGGGAAUCUACCCUCAGACCUGGGAUAGCGGCGGGAAACUGCCGGUAAUACCAGAUAAUGUCUUUGGACUAAAGGUGUGAUUCCGUCUGGGGAUGAGCCCACGUCCUAUUAGCUUGUUGGUGGGGUAAUGGCCUACCAAGGCAAUGAUGGGUAGCGGGUGUGAGAGCACGACCCGCCUCACUGGGACUGAGAUACUGCCCAGACACCUACGGGUGGCUGCAGUCGAGAAUCUUCGGCAAUGGGCGAAAGCCUGACCGAGCGACGCCGCGUGCGGGAUUGAAGGCCUUCGGGUUGUAAACCGCUGUCGUAGGGGAGCAAGAGAAGAGGGUUCUCCCUCUAAUUUGAGCGAUCCUAGGAGGAAGGACGGGCUAAGUUCGUGCCAGCAGCCGCGGUAAGACGAACCGUCCGAACGUUAUUCGGUAUCACUGGGCUUAAAGAGUUCGUAGGCGGCUCCGUAGGUGAGGUGUGAAAUCCCUCGGCUCAACCGAGGAAUUGCGCUUCAAACCGUGGAGCUAGAGGAAGAUAGGGGUGAGCGGAACAGAUGGUGGAGCGGUGAAAUGCGUUGAUAUCAUCUGGGAACACCGGUGGCGAAAGCGGCUCGCUGGAUCUUUUCUGACGCUGAGGAACGAAAGCUAGGGGAAGCGACCGGGAUUAGAUUCCCCCGGUAGUCCUAGCCCGUAAACGAUGAGCACUAUUCUGUGGGG
rnacentral:rRNA from 1 species